rnacentral:lncRNA from 1 species
UCACAAUUUUGACUGUCCAUCCCACGAAACACGAAGCCUCUAUAAAACGUUUUAUAGAGGUUUAUAGAGGUUUUAAACGUUUUAAAGACAUUUUAUAGAGGUUAUGUGUUUCAU